rnacentral:rRNA from 1 species
UCAUACGAGGAAAGAACUAACAAGGAUUCCCCUAGUAACUGCGAGUGAAGCGGGAAAAGCUCAAAUUUAAAAUCUGGCGGUUUUGGCCGUCCGAGUUGUAGUCUGGAGAAGUGCUUUCCGCGCCGGACCGUGUACAAGUCUCCUGGAACGGAGCGUCAUAGAGGGUGAGAAUCCCGUCUUUGACACGGACUACCGGUGCUUUGUGAUGCGCUCUCAAAGAGUCGAGUUGUUUGGGAAUGCAGCUCAAAAUGGGUGGUGAAUUCCAUCUAAAGCUAAAUAUUGGCGAGAGACCGAUAGCGAACAAGUACCGUGAGGGAAAGAUGAAAAGCACUUUGGAAAGAGAGUUAAACAGUACGUGAAAUUGCUGAAAGGGAAACGAUUGAAGUCAGUCGCGUCGUCCGGAACUCAGCCUUGCCUCGGCUUGGUGCACUUUCCGGUUGACGGGCCAGCAUCGAUUUUGACCGGCGGAUAAAGGUUCGAGGAAUGUGGCACCCUCGGGUGUGUUAUAGCCUCGGAUUGUAUACGUCGGUUGGGAUCGAGGAACUCAGCUUCGGCUUAGGAUGCUGGCGUAAUGGCUUUAAACGACCCGUCUUUGAAACACGGACCAAGGAGUCUAACAUGCCCGCGAGUGUUUGGGUGGUAAACCCAGGCGCGUAAUGAAAGUGAAAGUCGAGACCUCUGUCGUGGAGGGCAUCGACGCCCGGACCUGACCUUCUGUGACGGCUCCGCGGUAGAGCGUGUAUGUUGGGACCCGAAAGAUGGUGAACUAUGCCUGAAUAGGGUGAAGCCAGAGGAAACUCUGGUGAGGCUCGUAGCGAUUCUGACGUGCAAAUCGAUCGUCAAUUUGGGUAUAGGGGCGAAAGACUAAUCGAACCAUCUA